CCCUUAGAUGUUCUGGGCCACACGCGCGCUACACUGAUGCAUUCAACAAGCCUAGCCUUGACCGAGAGGUCCGGGUAAUCUUUGAAACUGCAUCGUGAUGGGGCUAGAUUAUUGCAAUUAUUAAUCUUCAACGAGGAAUGCCUAGUAAGCGUGAUUCAUCAAAUCGCGUUGAUUACGUCCCUGCCCUUUGUACACACCGCCCGUCGCUCCUACCGAUUGAAUGUGUUGGUGAGGAGCUCGGAUUGGCAGCAGUUGGUGGUUCGCCACCGGCUAUUGCUGAGAAGUCCUCCAAACCGCCCCAUUUAGAGGAAGGAGAAGUCGUAACA
rnacentral:rRNA from 1 species